AGCGAACGCUGGCGGCAGGCCUAACACAUGCAAGUCGAACGCCCCUUCGGGGGAGUGGCGGACGGGUGAGUAACGCGUGGGAACGUGCCCUUUGGUACGGAACAACUGAGGGAAACUUCAGCUAAUACCGUAUGUGCCCCCAUUCUUAGCGGGAUGGGUGGGAAAGAUUUAUCGCCAUUGGAGUGGCCCGCGUUAGAUUAGCUAGUUGGUAGGGUAAUGGCCUACCAAGGCGACGAUCUAUAGCUGGUCUGAGAGGAUGAUCAGCCACACUGGGACUGAGACACGGCCCAGACUCCUACGGGAGGCAGCAGUGGGGAAUCUUGCGCAAUGGGCGAAAGCCUGACGCAGCCAUGCCGCGUGAAUGAUGAAGGUCUUAGGAUUGUAAAAUUCUUUCACCGGGGACGAUAAUGACGGUACCCGGAGAAGAAACCCCGGCUAACUUCGUGCCAGCAGCCGCG
rnacentral:rRNA from 1 species